AGAAGAGAAAAGAAGAAAAAUAAAAAAGAAAGAAAGAACGCAUCGGUUACCGAAGAGAAUCUGCAUUUGCGAACAGACAAUCAUGUGCUCCACUCUGGUGGCGGAGUAUCAGUUACGUCGCAGUUUCUGUUCAGUGCAGACUUCUGUUCGAAUUUCCAGUGCCUCUCAUUAAUUUUCUUCGUCGUUCUAUGCUUUUUUAUACGUUAUCGUUAAUUAAAUAAAUGGCUAUUUGGCCGACGAAGGAUAACGACGGUGGCAAAUCGAAUAGAAAAGUCGUUAGAGCUACGACGAAAGUGAAAAUAAAAAAGAUAUUUUUAAAUGGUUUUUAUUUAAAGAUGUAGCAAGAAGAAGAACAUAAUUUCCUCGAUCAGCUAAGCAGACAAUUAUUUCCAAGAAAAAAAUAUUGCCAGUUUCGCAAAAUACUAUUGUACUGAGAACAAGCAUGCGUUUCAACAUCAGCUUUUCAGCUGGUCGGGAAAUGGAUGAAAAUUCGCUUAUAAAAUUCCACCCAGACAAACGAACAACAAAAUGAGCUAAAUAAAAACCACAAAUAAAGAGAAGUUACGUCGAAAUAUGAGAAUGGCGUUCGUAUUUCGUAUCCAAAACAAUUAAUGUGUAAUACCGUUGAUAUCCAGUGUCUCUACAAAAAGGAACUCUUCUUAGUAAAGAAAAAGCUGUUCGUUUACUACGUAGGAUAGCGUAUGCAAGAAAUUGAUCAUUCCAAAUGUUUCGAUUCGAAACUCUACGCUCUGUGGUAGAAAAGAAAGGGACUCAAAGCGAAGAAUCAUCGAGGUACUCACUGCCAAUUGAAUUUCCC